CCCACUCCACUUUCACGCUUUAGUGACACACACGGAUUAGCAGCUUCAUGGGAGGUUUACACAUGGUGUGAUGAAUAUGCAAACCAAGCUGCAUCCACCUAAUAACAGUUGUGGAUUGUGACUGCAGCCAAAGGAAUUUUGUACAGUACAUUUCAUUUCUUCAAUCACCAGAAACCCCACAAAAGAGCUCUGUUUUGAAUUGGUAAAAUAUGACCUUCCUGUCAUGUCAUGGCGACAUUUGUUACACCACCAAGACUGAAUCUCUGGGGAUGUUUAGUCACUCUGUCAGCCCCUGAAGAGGUUACCAUGGAGACAGUAGGGAGAGGGGAGGUCUCCUGACACCAAGCAGGAGUUGGUAAUUGGCAGAUUAUCAGAAGACAGAGGUUACUGUAGCCCUUACAGAAGGUUCACAGCACCACAGUCACAAACAGUACACACUCUCAAAUUAUAUCAACUGCACAGUCCCUCUAUCUGCAGGGGGAAAACACAACAAAGAAAGCUAUAUCUGAGAUACAUAGCGCUAAAUACCGUGAGGAGAAAAUAGCUGGUCAUUAGCCUUUACCCAGUCUCUUAUUAUAGUUUAACUGGCGGCAGAUUUCUCUGGGGACGGAGCCAGCAGGGACAGUGGCACUAUGAGGAAGACAAAGCCCUCAGAAGGCGGUGCUUUGACAGAUUGAGGAGGCAGGAUGGCGCUCCAAAUCUAGUGUACAAGAAGGAGAGAGUGACUGCAGGUCAGAGAUAAAAAUAUGGACAUC